rnacentral:rRNA from 1 species
GAUGAACGCUAGCUACAGGCUUAACACAUGCAAGUCGAGGGGCAGCAUGGUCUUAGCUUGCUAAGGCCGAUGGCGACCGGCGCACGGGUGAGUAACACGUAUCCAACCUGCCGUCUACUCUUGGACAGCCUUCUGAAAGGAAGAUUAAUACAAGAUGGCAUCAUGAGUCCACAUGUUCACAUGAUUAAAGGUAUUCCGGUAGACGAUGGGGAUGCGUUCCAUUAGAUAGUAGGCGGGGUAACGGCCCACCUAGUCUUCGAUGGAUAGGGGUUCUGAGAGGAAGGUCCCCCACAUUGGAACUGAGACACGGUCCAAACUCCUACGGGAGGCAGCAGUGAGGAAUAUUGGUCAAUGGGCGAGAGCCUGAACCAGCCAAGUAGCGUGAAGGAUGACUGCCCUAUGGGUUGUAAACUUCUUUUAUAAAGGAAUAAAGUCGGGUAUGGAUACCCGUUUGCAUGUACUUUAUGAAUAAGGAUCGGCUAACUCCGUGCCAGCAGCCGCGGUAAUACGGAGGAUCCGAGCGUUAUCCGGAUCUAUUGGGUUUAAAGGGAGCGUAGAUGGAUGUUUAAGUCAGUUGUGAAAGUUUGCGGCUCAACCGUAAAAUUGCAGUUGAUACUGGAUAUCUUGAGUGCAGUUGAGGCAGGCGGAAUUCGUGGUGUAGCGGUGAAAUGCUUAGAUAUCACGAAGAACUCCGAUUGCGAAGGCAGCCUGCUAAGCUGCAACUGACAUUGAGGCUCGAAAGUGUGGGUAUCAAACAGGAUUAGAUACCCUGGUAGUCCACACGGUAAACGAUGAAUACUCGCUGUUUGCGAUAUACAGCAAGCGGCCAAGCGAAAGCGUUAAGUAUUCCACCUGGGGAGUACGCCGGCAACGGUGAAACUCAAAGGAAUUGACGGGGGCCCGCACAAGCGGAGGAACAUGUGGUUUAAUUCGAUGAUACGCGAGGAACCUUACCCGGGCUUAAAUUGCAGAUGAAUUACGGUGAAAGCCGUAAGCCGCAAGGCAUCUGUGAAGGUGCUGCAUGGUUGUCGUCAGCUCGUGCCGUGAGGUGUCGGCUUAAGUGCCAUAACGAGCGCAACCCUUGUUGUCAGUUACUAACAGGUUCCGCUGAGGACUCUGACAAGACUGCCAUCGUAAGAUGUGAGGAAGGUGGGGAUGACGUCAAAUCAGCACGGCCCUUACGUCCGGGGCUACACACGUGUUACAAUGGGGGGUACAGAGGGCCGCUACCACGCGAGUGGAUGCCAAUCCCAAAAACCUCUCUCAGUUCGGACUGGAGUCUGCAACCCGACUCCACGAAGCUGGAUUCGCUAGUAAUCGCGCAUCAGCCACGGCGCGGUGAAUACGUUCCCGGGCCU